rnacentral:rRNA from 1 species
CUACGGGCGGCACCAGUGGGGAAUAUUGCACAAUGGGCGCAAGCCUGAUGCAGCCAUGCCGCGUGUAUGAAGAAGGCCUUCGGGUUGUAAAGUACUUUCAGCGGGGAGGAAGGGAGUAAAGUUAAUACCUUUGCUCAUUGACGUUACCCGCAGAAGAAGCACCGGCUAACUCCGUGCCAGCAGCCGCGGUAAUACGGAGGGUGCGAGCGUUAAGCGGAAUUACUGGGCGUAAAGCGCACGCAGGCGGUUUGUUAAGUCAGAUGUGAAAUCCCCGGGCUCAACCUGGGAACUGCAUCUGAUACUGGCAAGCUUGAGUCUCGUAGAGGGGGGUAGAAUUCCAGGUGUAGCGGUGAAAUGCGUAGAGAUCUGGAGGAAUACCGGUGGCGAAGGCGGCCCCCUGGACGAAGACUGACGCUCAGGUGCGAAAGCGUGGGGAGCAAACAGGAUUAGAUACCCUGGUAGUC